GUCUACUACAUACUCUAUCAUUACCACUUUGUUGAUUAGACCAGGUAAAGAAAUUUCCCUUCCAUGGAAGCUCAACCAGGCCUGAUUGCUGUAUGCAGUUAUUAAAAUCAACAAGAUCCUUUUGCUUAACUUGUUGGAAGGAUUGUCUUUCCUUGCUAGACAAAAUGGCAUUAAAAUCAACUGCAAUGAUCCAGGGCUCAGUAAUACCAGCUGAUAAAUUCAGAAUAGACUUCCACAGCAUCCUCCUCUGAUCACAGUCAUUAAAACCAUAUA
rnacentral:lncRNA from 1 species